rnacentral:rRNA from 1 species
CAUGUAGGGGGCGAGCGUUGUCCGGAUUUAUUGGGCGUAAAGAGCGCGUAGGCGGCCCAGUAAGUCCGCUCUGAAAGUCAGGGGCUCAACCCCUGGAUGCGGGUGGAUACUGCUGGGCUAGAGUGCAGAAGGGGCAACUGGAAUUCCGCGUGUAGCAGUGAAAUGCGUAGAUAUGCGGAGGAACACCGAUGGCGAAGGCAAUCCCCUGGGCCUGUACUGACGCUCAUGCACGAAAGCGUGGGGAGCAAACAGG